UUAUAAGAGACAGCAGCCGCCGCGGGAAUACGGAGGGUGCGAGCGUUAAUCGGAAUAACUGGGCGUAAAGGGCACGCAGGCGGUUAUUUAAGUGAGGUGUGAAAGCCCCGGGCUUAACCUGGGAAUUGCAUUUCAGACUGGGUAACUAGAGUACUUUAGGGAGGGGUAGAAUUCCACGUGUAGCGGUGAAAUGCGUAGAGAUGUGGAGGAAUACCGAAGGCGAAGGCAGCCCCCUGGGAAUGUAUUGACGCUCAUGUGCGAAAGCGUGGGGAGCAAACAGGAUUAGAGACCCCCGUAGUCCCUGUCUCUUAUAC
rnacentral:rRNA from 1 species